GCUCCUCCAUCACAGCUACACACAGAGGCAACGUCAACAUGAAUGGCACAGUAUGGACAAUGACCCUCUAUUGUCGCCAUAGCCACUGUUGCUAUUCCUUUGCACAGCAUGGACAAGAUUUCCUAGCUCCAUAGGAUAUAUUUAUAUUUCAAGGCAUCUCUAACUUCAUUUGAUGCAUCUCAAAAUCCCAUAAGAACAUGUGAAGGAGGCAGAGGUUAAGGAACAAGGACUUCCAGGAUCCAGUUCUAUUCUGUACGUCAGUGAUCAGAUAGAGUAUUUUUGGUGCCAAGGAAGACUCUGAAGUUUUUAGAUCUGAGGAUAAAUAGCCAUCAGUAACCACAACUCCUCUCAUCUCCUUGGAGGCCACAGAUCAUAUAGCCUAUGUCACGAUCAAGAGACUCCAUGUCCUGCAGAGAAGCAUCUGAUUGGACAAGUGGAGGUUACAAGCCCAUGCUGCCAGAACUCAGAAGUUUCCUCUUCAGGUUUCUAUAGUAAGAGGCUCUUCCAAAACCCAGAGGACAUGGGCCUUCUGCUGAAGAUAAGCUUACAACAUCAAAAGAGGUAAAAUAAUAAACUAUGUGAGUAAGUAAAUACUAUUAGA
rnacentral:lncRNA from 1 species